rnacentral:tRNA from 1 species
UAGCUCUGUUGGCUAGAGCAUGGUGUUGAUAACAUCAAGGUCGCGGGUUCGAUCCCCGU